CAUUACGAAAUUCUUAUUAAGGACGUCAGGGAAAUUGAGUCCGGCAGAGUCCCAUUUCCGAAUUACAGGUCCAGUGGAAGCACCAACUAAUGGCAUUGCCUUUCAAGUGCAGAGGUAAUGCACUGCAUGAGCAAUAUAUAUGUACUAUCAGAGCCUCAUAGCUUCAUUGUAUCUCAGCUCUUUCAUAAGGUAAAAAUAUCAUUUUAUCAAUUAAUUAAGUUUAUAUCAAGACUAAAGGAUUCAUAAAAAAAAAUGAAAAAAUUUUUUUUUGGCAUUUCAUGGACAUAGGUAAAUUAAUGUUGAUUAAAAUUGAGCAAUGAGUGAGCAUUCACCUGAGGUGAAUAAAUAAUUGAAAUGGGACCAUGGAAUAAUCCAAGAAAGUAGAGAUGGAGAAGUGUGCCAGUUUUAUCAUUUCAUGUGCUCCACCGAUUUCCCCAUCUUCACCUAACUGCUUUAACAUAUAUAUUUAAUAGAAAAAGCCAUCCCUGAGACGUAAUCUCUUCAACUUCCUAUCCUGUUUCUAACCCAAAGAUAGCUCGCAUCACAUGAGAUCUAACGUUACCCAUUUUUGGGGUAACAUGCUAUUUAAUGGUGCCCAGUGUUCUCUUACAGUUAAUAAUAAUAAUAAUAAUUAAAUUCUACCCAAAAAAUAAAAAUAAAAAUUUUAAAAAUGACUAAAACAUAGAUUAAUCGAUCUGUUUUCACCCCAAAUCUAAGCCAUUGGCCUUGUACUUAUGAUCUUGAUGAGUAUUCAUAUGCAAACCGUAACUUGAUGGUAUUUUAUCCUUAGUCUAACAUUCAUGACAAUGGCCGAAUGCAUUUCCCAAUCUAUCUGGACCUUGUGGCUGCAAUAUUUAUUAAUUAUUACUUCAAAUACUACAUCCACAUGUUAGAUGUUGCUUUCUUUUGGGCUAAAAAAGUUAUUAUUCUUCCGUAUUCUAUGCCAUGCAGGCUCCAACACGUGUCAAAAGCUAUACUUAAUCUCAAGUUGUAGCUCAGUCGCAGGACUGAGAGCUGAAAAAAAAAAAUGGAAAUUCCACUAUAUAUUUUUGUUUCUCCUUCUUGUGCCCCUCCUUCGAUCUUCUUCUCCUUCUUCUUCUUUGCCAAUGAAGAAACAAGAUGGUACGUAGACCUUAAAACUCCACCACGAAAUAAUUCAACCCACCACGCCACAAAGAGGGGCACCCCUAACUCCCAUAUAAGCCAGGGAAAAGCAGUAAACAGUCCCAAUUUACGCUAUGGCUUAUCUGGGGAUUUUCAUGGUGGCUUUCACGGCUCUUCUUAUCUCAAAGAUUUGGCAAGUGGUGAAGGUUUGCUUGUGGAGACCCUAUGCUUUGACUAGAAGCUUUAGAAAUCAAGGAGUUAAGGGGCCAUCUUACUCCCUCUUCUCAGGUUCUCUAAAAGAAAUGAAAAGGCUGAAGAUGGAUGCCAUUCAACUUAUUUUGGAUACAACCUCUGACGACUUCACUUGCAAAGUUCUGCCCCACUACCACAAAUGGUGCCCACAAUACGGUGAGUUUCACCUAUAAUAAAUUUCCAUUUGUUCAGAACAGAGGGCAUAUACUCACUGCUUACUGCUUAGGUGUGUUUUUGGCUUUAUGGUCAUUUGCCUAUUAAUUAUCAGAGUAAUUAGCUACUAGCCAACUAGUUAGGUGCUGUAGUAUUAUUGUCUAUGAUGGAGCACUGGUGUUUCUUAUGACCCAGGAGAAACAAUUCUUUAUUGGCGUGGGACUAGGCCAGUGGUUUGCAUAACGAAUCCUGAUUUGGCCAAGCAAAUAUUAUCAAACAAAUUUGGUUUCUAUAUGAAGCCCAAGUUUAAUCCUGCAAUAAUAGCACUGACAGGGAAUGGAGUAGCCGUAGUCAAUGGAUAUGAAUGGGUUAGACGCAGAAGGAUUGUCAAUCCUGCUUUCUCUGCCGACAAGCUCAAGGUUAUGAUAAAGAAAAUGGCAAUAUGUACUGUAUCCAUGCUUGAAGAAUGGAAAAAUCAGGCCAAUGCUGCCGAGGAUCAAUGUAAGAAGAUAGAAAUUAAUGGAGAAUUUUGAAAGCUUACUGCUGAUAUAAUAGCCCACACUGCCAUUGGCAGUCGCUAUUCUCAAGGGAAAGAAGCCUUUGAAGCACAAAAUGAGCUCCAACAUUAUUGUGCAGCUUUAAUUCUGGAUAUUUUGAUCCCUGGCAGCCAGUAAAUACCUCACUCCUAACCAUAUAAUUUUCCUUACAAUUUUGAAUUUAUCAAGUUUUCCUCUUGACUUUUUCUUUUCUUUCCUCCCUUUUUGGUUCUUUAAUGAUCAAGUUAUCUUCCAACUUCAUAAAACCUUCAACUAUGGAAGCUAGAUAGAAGAGUACGGGAUUCUGUGAGGGACAUCAUAAAGAGAAGACUGAAUUCCACCAAUUCAGAAUGCAAUUAUGGAGAUGAUCUACUUGGUUUGAUGAUUGAAGCAUCAGAAAACACUGAAAGCAAUAAGAGCACCAAGUUAAACAUGGAUGAAAUAGUGGAGGAGUGCAAAACAUUCUUUUUGGCAGGGCAUGAAACCUCCUCCAAUUUGCUAACUUGGACAGUCUUCUUGUUGAGCUUACAUCAAGACUGGCAAACAAGAGUCAAAGAAGAGGUGCUGAAAGAAUGCGGAAUGGGGAUUCCUGAUUCAGACAGGUUGGCCAGGUUAAGAUUGGUAAAUUUGGUUCUGCUGGAGGCCUUGAGGUUGUACUGUCCUGUAGUAGAAAUGUUCAGGGAAGCAUCAAAAGACAUGAAAUUGGGGAACUUGAUGAUUCCAAAGAAUGUACUAGUAUCAAUUCCACUUGCAAAGAUCCACAGGAGCAAAGAAUACUGGGGAGAGGAUGCAAACGAGUUCAAUCCAAAUAGGUUUACGAAUGGGAUUUCCAAGGCAGCAAAACACCCAAAUGCUUUUCUCGCCUUUGGAAUGGGUCCAAGAACUUGUGUGGGGCAAAAUUUUGCUAUGCUGGAAGCAAAAGCAGUUCUUGCAAUGGUUCUUCAGAGGUUUUCUCUCUCCGUCAUCUGAUUAUAAACAUGCGCCAGUAGACAACAUAACUUUGCAGCCACAACAUGGCCUCCCCAUUGUCGUCAAGCCUUUGAACCCGAAGAACAUGUUGGGCUAUGGCAAGGCCUAAAUGGGAAAGAUGGUGUUGGUCUAUAGCUAAUCCAUGUGAAUUCUACAUGUACGAAUGACAAGGCCCAACAAGUCAUUUCAAUCAACAGCCCAUUUACACCUCUUAUGGGCCUUGUCAAGAAUUCAUAAAGCUAGAAGUAAAAUUUUCGAACUAAGUUGAAGCCCACCAUAGUAAAUACUAAAUAUAUAGCCCGAGUAGUCUUUACACGAUGUUUGAAAAAGGUUUUUUUGAAUGAUUUUGUAUUAAAAUGAAUUAUUUUUUGAGUCUCAACGGAAGUUAAUUAUAAAAAAGAAAAAAAAUAAAUUUAUGUGAAUAAUAUUAUUAAUUGAUUAUUUAUUACAUUGAAAAUGGUAGAUUUGAAUAUAAUCAUAUAUAGAAAUGAUGUGGGAUGUCUUCCUUUUUGGGAAUUCUUCCUAAAAUGUUCAUAUUUGCUGCCUGUUUAGGAUGUAAUUAUCGUCCUAAUAAAAAGAGGUUUGUAGAUAUAGAGUAUGUAUGAGAGAUUAGUGUUAGAGUUGGAGAAUGGAAAACAAAGAUCCUUGGUAUUAUGAUUUCAUGAAGGUAGGCAAUAGCGAGCAAGAAUCUGCGAAGAGUGGCGUCCCAACAAUUUCAGACAAUACCCCAUCUUACAACUUCAUCCAAAAACAAGCUUCUUCGUCUCAAGUUCAAGUUUAUGCAACUGAGAAGCAAUCCGAAGGAGGAGGCAAUGUGAAAAGUGGAAAUAUCCGUAACAUAUUGAAUAAUCCAAGGGCCAAAGAUUUUGCUCAAACAGUGUUGCGUAGAAGCCAGUGAUUUAUAUAUAUACUUAUGAUCCAACUCCAGGGCCUCAAAUUAUAUGGUAUAAUG
rnacentral:misc_RNA from 1 species